ensembl:lncRNA
UUUCGCUCGGGAUGACUCAUUACUCGGAAAAGAUGGGGGGAAAAAAAAGUGCAGAUGUCACCAGAAAUUGAAUGAGAGCAACAAAAAAAAAAGAAAACACCAACAAACUUGAAGCGCACGGAUGGAAACAACAGCGUCUCCAGAGCACAGCAUCUUUGUGGCCUUGAAACAUCGGAGACGCAAACCCGUGGGAGGAUUCAUUUGAAGAAAUUUUUCCAGCAAAUGUGCUGAGUGAAGAGCUGAUGACCUUCAGACUGCAGACACGACCAUGAACCUCCUCCUGCAGGUAGAAAUACUUUACAACGCGGAUGAGCUCGAUGGAUUUCGUUGGAAAUGGCGAUCUGCUGGUGC